ACCGAUUAUAAAUAUUUUUUACCCUUGAUUCAAGAGACUCCAACGUCAACAACACAAUAACCAAAAUUAUAUACAUUAUACACACAAUUUCAUUGUCCAUAUACUUCAAUAUCAGAAGAUAAAGUUUGGUGUAUCAUGUCCUCAACAUAUACAUUGGGACGCUAGGCCUACUCUUGUACCUGUAGAAAACUUUUUUCUUCUUGAAAGUCCAAUUCCCUAUUGUUAUCACUAUUUUCCCAGGUUCUCUAAUGUGAAAUGAAUUUCUUACACUUCCACCCAUUUUCUUCUCAUUCUGAAGCAAAAUCUUGUACGAACAAUCAUCGUCUGGAAUGAAUUCCUCUUUGUAUGUCACCUCGUACCCAAC
rnacentral:lncRNA from 1 species